rnacentral:rRNA from 1 species
GGGGGAAAAAUUAAUUAAAUAAUAAUAAUAAAAUAAAUUUUAAAAUUAAAAAUAAAUAAUGGGGGUUAAAGUAUUUUUAAUAGAAAAAAUUUAAAAUUUUAUAGUUAAUUAGUAUUGUGGGUGAAAUUUGAAAUAUGUGAAAAUUAAUUAGUAAGAAAAAAAAUUUAAUUUAUUGUAUCUUGUGUAUCAGAGUUUAUUAAAUAAGUUUUUUGGGGAAAAAAAUCUCGAAUUUAAAAGAGUUAAUUAAUUAAUAAAGUUAAUGUAACAUAAUUAUUUUAAAUAAUUAAUUAGAAAUGAAAUGUUAAUCGUUUUUAAAUAUAUCUAGUUAUUUUAGAAAAAAAUUUAAUUUUAAAUUUAUAUAAUUUUAUAAUUUCAUAAUAAAAAUUAUAAAAAUUUAAAUUUAAUAUAUUAAGGGAUAAGCUUUAAAUUAAAAAUUUAUAAUAAAUUAAUAUUAAAAUUAAAAUUUUUAAAAUUUAUAUUGUUUAAAAAUUAUAAUUUAUUAUAAAAAAUUUUAAUAAAUAUAUAAAAUUUAAUAAUAAAAAUUUAAAUUUAUAUAAAAUAAUAAUUUUUAAUAAAAUAAAAUUAAUAAUAAUGAUAAAAUUAGUAUAAAUAUAAUUAAAAAUAUUAAAUAAAUAUUUAAAAUUAAUAAAAAGGAAUUCGGCAAAUAAAAUAUUCACUUGUUUAUCAAAAACAUGUCUUUUUGAAUAUAAUUUAAAGUCUAAUCUGCCCACUGAUAAUUAUUAAAGGGCUGCAGUAUAAUGACUGUACAAAGGUAGCAUAAUCAAUAGUUUUUUAAUUGGAAACUUGUAUGAAAGAUUUGAUGAAAUAUAGACUGUCUCUUAUUUAUUUUUAGAAAUUUAUUUUUUAGUUAAAAAGCUAAAAUAAUUUUAAAAGACGAGAAGACCCUAUAGAGUUUUAUAUUUAUUUUUAUUUUAAAAUUAUAUUAAAUUUUUUUUUUUAUUAAAAUAAAAUUAUUUAUUUUAUUGGGGUGAUAGAAAAAUAUGAUAAACUUUUUUUAAAAAUUAAACAUAAAUAAAUGAUUAAAUGAUCCAUUAAUAAUGAUUAUAAGAAAAAAUUACCUUAGGGAUAACAGCGUAAUAUUUUUUUUUAGUUCAAAUAAAAAAAAAAGUUUGCGACCUCGAUGUUGGAUUAAGAUAAAAUUUAAAUGCAAAAGUUUAAAAUUUUGAUCUGUUCGAUCAUUAAAAUCUUACAUGAUCUGAGUUCAAACCGGUGUAAGCCAGGUUGGUUUCUAUCUUUAGAUAAAAAUGAUAUUUUAGUACGAAAGGAUCAAAUAUUAAAAAUAAUUUUAAUAAAAGAAUAUUAUUAAUUAAUUGAGUAAUAAAAUU